rnacentral:rRNA from 1 species
GACGAACGCUGGCGGCGUGCUUAACACAUGCAAGUCGAACGGAAAGGCCCUGCUUUUGUGGGGUGCUCGAGUGGCGAACGGGUGAGUAACACGUGAGAAACCUGCCCUUGACUUUGGGAUAACUUCAGGAAACUGGGGCUAAUACCGGAUAGGAGCUCCUGCUGCAUGGUGGGGGUUGGAAAGUUUCGGCGGUUGGGGAUGGACUCGCGGCUUAUCAGCUUGUUGGUGGGGUAGUGGCUUGCCAAGGCUUUGACGGGUAGCCGGCCUGAGAGGGUGACCGGCCACAUUGGGACUGAGAUACGGCCCAGACUCCUACGGGAGGCAGCAGUGGGGAAUAUUGCACAAUGGGCGGAAGCCUGAUGCAGCAACGCCGCGUGCGGGAUGACGGCCUUCGGGUUGUAAACCGCUUUCGCCUGUGACGAAGCGUGAGUGACGGUAAUGGGUAAAGAAGCACCGGCUAACUACGUG